UGUGGGGUGGCGGAACUGGCAGACGCGCUAGCCUAUCUCGCUAGUACAAUUAGAGGUUCGAGUCCUCUCUCUACAGCAA
rnacentral:tRNA from 1 species